AUGCCAUGGUGUGGACACUCGACCAGCAUCCCUUUGAACCUCUCCCACGUUUCUUGUAGUGUUUCAGAUGGUUUCUGCGUGAAGCUCAAUAUCUCAUCAACUUGCUU
rnacentral:snoRNA from 1 species